AGGACGAACGCUGGCGGCGUGCUUAACACAUGCAAGUCGAGCGGUAAGGCCCUUCGGGGUACACGAGCGGCGAACGGGUGAGUAACACGUGGGUGAUCUGCCUCGCACUCUGGGAUAAGCCUGGGAAACUGGGUCUAAUACCGGAUAUGACCUUACAUCGCAUGGUGUUUGGUGGAAAGAUUUAUCGGUGCGAGAUGGGCCCGCGGCCUAUCAGCUUGUUGGUGGGGUAAUGGCCUACCAAGGCGACGACGGGUAGCCGGCCUGAGAGGGCGACCGGCCACACUGGGACUGAGACACGGCCCAGACUCCUACGGGAGGCAGCAGUGGGGAAUAUUGCACAAUGGGCGAAAGCCUGAUGCAGCGACGCCGCGUGAGGGAUGACGGCCUUCGGGUUGUAAACCUCUUUCGACAGGGACGAAGCGCAAGUGACGGUACCUGUAGAAGAAGCACCGGCCAACUACGUGCCAGCAGCCGCGGUAAUACGUAGGGUGCGAGCGUUGUCCGGAAUUACUGGGCGUAAAGAGCUUGUAGGUAGGCUUGUCGCGUCGAUCGUGAAAACUUGGGGCUCAACCCCAAGCUUGCGGUCGAUACGGGCAGGCUUGAGUACUUCAGGGGAGACUGGAAUUCCUGGUGUAGCGGUGAAAUGCGCAGAUAUCAGGAGGAACACCGGUGGCAAAGGGGGGG
rnacentral:rRNA from 1 species